rnacentral:lncRNA from 1 species
GGGCUGUCGUAGAUUUUCCUCAUGAGGAACGCUAAAAUAAAACAUUUGUAAACCAGGAAUAUCAGAAUGCACAUGACUCAAACCGAUCGAUAAAGUUUAGCCAGCUCAGCUUCAUGGUCAAACUUGCCUAAGGGAUUUAGCACCGUAGACUUUUUAAAAUGAAUUUAGCAAUGGAAAAUUAUAAAUACAGAAGGUAAAAUACAUGUCGGUAUCGACAUACUAAUUAUUAAACUGAUG